AUUUAAAUAAUUUAAAUAAAAUAUAAUAUUGAAAAUAUUAAAAUAGAAUUUAUUCUUUUAAAUA
rnacentral:tRNA from 1 species